CCUACGGGUGGCAGCAGUGAGGAAUAUUGGUCAAUGGACGAGAGUCUGAACCCGCCAAGUAGCGUGAAGGAUGACUGCCCUAUGGGUUGUAAACUUCUUUUAUAUGGGAAUAAAAUGUUCCACGUGUGGGACUUUGUAUGUACCAUAUGAAUAAGGAUCGGCUAACUCCGUGCCAGCAGCCGCGGUAAUACGGAGGAUCCGAGCGUUAUCCGGAUUUAUUGGGUUUAAAGGGAGCGUAGGUGGGUUGUUAAGUCAGUUGUGAAAGUUUGCGGCUCAACCGUAAAAUUGCAGUUGAUACUGGCAGUCUUGAGUACAGUAGAGGUAGGCGGAAUUCGUGGUGUAGCGGUGAAAUGCUUAGAUAUCACGAAGAACUCCGAUUGCGAAGGCAGCUUACUGGACUGUAACUGACGCUGAGGCUCGAAAGUGUGGGUAUCAAACAGGAUUAGAUACCCCAGUAGUC
rnacentral:rRNA from 1 species